AUGGUCAUGUCAUGUUUAAAAACCGGUUCUCGUACGAUCGCUGUAGUUAAGCAAUGUUGAGCUUGGUCAGUACCUGGAUGGCUAACCGCUUGAGAAUACCAGAUGUUGUAAG